rnacentral:rRNA from 1 species
AGCUAGUUGGUGAGGUAGCGGCCCACCAAGGCAACGAUCGGUAGCCGGACUGAGAGGUUGAACGGCCACAUUGGGACUGAGACACGGCCCAGACUCCUACGGGAGGCAGCAGUGGGGAAUAUUGCACAAUGGGGGAAACCCUGAUGCAGCGACGCCGCGUGGAGGAAGAAGGUCUUCGGAUUGUAAACUCCUGUUGUUGAGGAAGAUAAUGACGGUACUCAACAAGGAAGUGACGGCUAACUACGUGCCAGCAGCCGCGGUAAAACGUAGGUCACAAGCGUUGUCCGGAAUUACUGGGUGUAAAGGGAGCGCAGGCGGGAAGACAAGUUGGAAGUGAAAUCUAUGGGCUCAACCCAUAAACUGCUUUCAAAACUGUUUUUCUUGAGUAGUGCAGAGGUAGGCGGAAUUCCCGGUGUAGCGGUGGAAUGCGUAGAUAUCGGGAGGAACACCAGUGGCGAAGGCGGCCUACUGGGCACCAACUGACGCUGAGGCUCGAAAGUGUGGGUAGCAAACAGGAUUAGAUACCCUGGUAGUCCACACCGUAAACGAUGAUUACUAGGUGUUGGAGGAUUGACCCCUUCAGUGCCGCAGUUAACACAAUAAGUAAUCCACCUGGGGAGUACGACCGCAAGGUUGAAACUCAAAGGAAUUGACGGGGGCCCGCACAAGCAGUGGAGUAUGUGGUUUAAUUCGACGCAACGCGAAGAACCUUACCAAGUCUUGACAUCCUGCGACGCACAUAGAAAUAUGUGUUUCCUUCGGGACGCAGAGACAGGUGGUGCAUGGUUGUCGUCAGCUCGUGUCGUGAGAUGUUGGGUUAAGUCCCGCAACGAGCGCAACCCUUACUGUCAGUUACUACGCAAGAGGACUCUGGCAGGACUGCCGUUGACAAAACGGAGGAAGGUGGGGAUGACGUCAAAUCAUCAUGCCCUUUAUGACUUGGGCUACACACGUACUACAAUGGCGUUAAACAAAGAGAAGCAAGACCGCGAGGUGGAGCAAAACUCAGAAACAACGUCCCAGUUCGGACUGCAGGCUGCAACUCGCCUGCACGAAGUCGGAAUUGCUAGUAAUCGUGGAUCAGCAUGCCACGGUGAAUACGUUCCCGGGCCUUGUACACACCGCCCGUCACACCAUGAGAGCCGGGGGGACCCGAAGUCGGUAGUCUAACCGCAAGGAGGACGCCGCCGAAGGUAAAACUGGUGAUUGGGGUGAAGUCGUAACAAGGUAA